GACGAACGCUGGCGGCGUGCCUAAUACAUGCAAGUAGAACGCUGAAGAGAGGAGCUUGCUCUUCUUGGAUGAGUUGCGAACGGGUGAGUAACGCGUAGGUAACCUGCCUUGUAGCGGGGGAUAACUAUUGGAAACGAUAGCUAAUACCGCAUAACAAUGGAUGACACAUGUCAUUUAUUUGAAAGGGGCAAUUGCUCCACUACAAGAUGGACCUGCGUUGUAUUAGCUAGUAGGUGAGGUAAUGGCUCACCUAGGCGACGAUACAUAGCCGACCUGAGAGGGUGAUCGGCCACACUGGGACUGAGACCAGGCCCAGACUCCUACGGGGGGCCGCAGUAGGGAAUCUUCGGCAAUGGGGGCAACCCUGACCGAGCAACGCCGCGUGAGUGAAGAAGGUUUUCGGAUCGUAAAGCUCUGUUGUAAGUCAAGAACGGGUGUGAGAGUGGAAAGUUCACACUGUGACGGUAGCUUACCAGAAAGGGACGGCUAACUACGUG
rnacentral:rRNA from 1 species